AGGACCUGCCCGGGGCCCCAGUGGCCGUGGGGCGACACCGCCGAGCAGCCCAAUGGGCAGGGGCCUGCGCCACGGGCCAGCUCCACGGCAGGGCCCGAGGGAGGAGCUGGGGGAGGGGGGCUUAGACAACACUGACUCCUCGUUCUGGAGGCCGAAGUUCAAGGGCAGGCUGCAGGCAGGGGCAGUUCGGCGGGCGGCCCUCCGCCUGCAGAGGCCACCUUCUUGCUGGGCCCUCCCAUGGCCAGCCCGCUCCUGAGGGCGCCACCCCCAUCUGAUCAGGACCCUAUGACCUCAUUUAACCUUUGCAGCCCCGCCAGGCCUGUCCCCAAAUCCAGUCACACUGGAAUAUGGGCUUUAGCAGGUGUCUCGGGGUACUCCCCUCCUCGGGCUCGGACUCACCCUCCAGAACGCCAGAACGCCAGGGGGUCUUUCCCCCAUGGCUGCUCCUGCAGGGUCUGCAUCACGUCCCCGUCCCCCUCGGGCUCUGAGGAAACACAACUAGACGGACAGCUCACUGGACACACAACCAGGACCAGAACACGCAUCCUGGGGCCACAGUAGCCCGAGGCGCGGGCGCCCUUCCCGGAGCAGCACGUGGGGCACUGUGACGGGGACAGAUGUACCAAGGGCGUGACCUAAAUAAGCAUGAGGACCUCAUAUCAAACACAGCAACUGGGUUAGAUGUUCAUGAGAGAUAGAGGAGCACCGUAUCGGUAGAAGCAAGAAAAAAUCAUAAGAAAAGGAAGCCUCAGUUCUGACAACCGUGAUUGUAGAUGACAAAUGGGGACGGGGACAGCUGAAUGGGGGCAAGUGGUGAGAGCAGAGCAAGCACAGAAGGUCAGCAGGAAACCACUGCGAGGUGAGACUGGAUGUGCAUCGAGCAGCUGAGAGGACACAGUGGAGGGUUCCCUGGAGCACGGGAGCCCCGGGGCAGGGGGUGCCGUCACCGCCCACCCUCCCGGGGCUGGCGCCACGUCAGAGCCGGAGGCGAGGGUCAGCGGUCAGGCUCCCCUGAGCUCUCAGAGGGACAGGCCUGCACUGGGACGUCCCGGGAAAGCCGUCCAGACAGCAGGGGGCGGACAGAGGGACACGGACCUGGGGUACAUGCGCGAGGGGCAGGCCGGGAACUGGAUCUCAUACAAGCCUGAGCGGCAGAGUGAAUCAGUCGGAACCUGUACAGCCGUUGGGAGGGAACCCAGGGCCGAGGAGGAGAGGGUUAGUGUCCCUGCAGGAGACGCAGGCCCACGGGCAGAGAGGCCCACAAAACCGCAGGCCGUACCCUGUGCGCCGCUCCGUGCGGGCCCCUCUGUGCAGGCCUCUCCAUGCGCCCCACCCUGUGCGCCCCUCCGUGUGCGCCACUCCCUGUGCGCCCUUCCAGGCCCGCCCCUCCCUGUGCACCGCUCCGUGCCCGCCCCUCCGUGUGAGUCUCCACGCGGGCCUCUGUGACGCUCCCUGGGACACUCCCUGCAGGCCUUUCCACGGGGGCUGCUGGAGCACCCGCAGCACAGCACUGCAGAGGCUCCCCCACCCUCACAAGUGCUCCAAGAACCCGAGGGGGCGGCCGCAAUCCGCCGAUGACCUACCUCGCCCCAGAACUCAGCGCUGCGACGUCCUCCAGGCGCUGUGUGCAGCAGCGACCCUGACGGAAGCAGGUGGGAACACAGACGCGGGAAUCCCAGCACCACGGACGCACAGGCCCUCUGGGCGGCUGGACGCCACACAAAUGGACAAUGGAUACUUCCAAACCACCUUAAAGUCAGUAAGAACGAUGCCAUCUAUGAAAAAUAAUGUAAAUCAGAAUCAGAAAUAA